rnacentral:rRNA from 1 species
UUGACCUCGGAUCAGGUAGGGAUACCCGCUGAACUUAAGCAUAUCAAUAAGCGGAGGAAAAGAAACCAACCGGGAUUGCCUCAGUAACGGCGAGUGAAGCGGCAAGAGCUCAAAUUUGAAAGCUGGCCCCUCCGGGGUCCGCGUUGUAAUUUGCAGAGGAUGCUUCGGGAGCGGCCCCCAUCUAAGUGCCCUGGAACGGGCCGUCAUAGAGGGUGAGAAUCCCGUCUGGGAUGGGGUGCCCGCGCCCGUGUGAAGCUCCUUCGACGAGUCGAGUUGUUUGGGAAUGCAGCUCUAAAUGGGUGGUAAAUUUCAUCUAAAGCUAAAUAUUGGCCGGAGACCGAUAGCGCACAAGUAGAGUGAUCGAAAGAUGAAAAGCACUUUGAAAAGAGAGUUAAACAGCACGUGAAAUUGUUGAAAGGGAAGCGCUUGCGACCAGACUCGCCCGCGGGGUUCAGCCGGCACUCGUGCCGGUGUACUUCCCCGCGGGCGGGCCAGCGUCGGUUUGGGCGGCCGGUCAAAGGCCCUCGGAAUGUAACGCCCCCCGGGGCGUCUUAUAGCCGAGGGUGCCAUGCGGCCAGCCCGGACCGAGGAACGCGCUCCGGCUCGGACGCUGGCAUAAUGGUCGUAAGCGACCCGUCUUGAAACACGGACCAAGGAGUCUAACAUCUACGCGAGUGUUCGGGUGUCAAACCCGUACGCGCAGUGAAAGCGAACGGAGGUGGGAACCCCCCCGGGGGCGCACCAUCGACCGAUCCUGAUGUCUUCGGAUGGAUUUGAGUAGGAGCGUAGCUGUUGGGACCCGAAAGAUGGUGAACUAUGCCUGAAUAGGGCGAAGCCAGAGGAAACUCUGGUGGAGGCUCGCAGCGGUUCUGACGUGCAAAUCGAUC